rnacentral:rRNA from 1 species
CGCCUGUUUAUCAAAAACAUCUCUUCUCGUUAGUUUUUGAAGUAUGGCCUGCCCACUGACCUUGAAUGUUGAAGGGCCGCGGUAUUUUGACCGUGCAAAGGUAGCAUAGUCAUUAGUUCUUUAAUUGUGAUCUGGUAUGAAUGGCUUGACGAGGCAUAAGCUGUCUUAAUUUUGAAUUGUUUAUUGAAUUUGUUCUUUGAGUUAAAAUUCUUAGAUGUUUUUAUGGGACGAGAAGACCCUAUAGAGUUUGACAUUUAUUAUGGUCUCUUUCUGUUUGUGAGGGUUCACUAGGGCUGUUUAAUAUGUUUUGUUGGGGUGAUGGGAGGGAUAUUAUUUAACCCCUCCUUUGUGUUGUUAUAUUUGUUUAUAUUUGCUUGAUCCAUUUAUUUUGAUUGUAAGAUUAAAUUACCUUAGGGAUAACAGCGUAA